GAUGAACGCUGGCGGCGUGCCUAACACAUGCAAGUCGAGCGAGAUGUAUAUGGACGAAACUUCGGUCUAGGAAAUAUAUUGACAGCGGCGGACGGGUGAGUAACGCGUAGGCAACCUGCCCCAAACACAGGGAUAGCCUCGGGAAACCGGGAUUAAAACCUGAUAAUGCCAGAGAGUCACAUGGCUCGCUGGCCAAAGAUUUAUCGGUUUGGGAUGGGCCUGCGUCUGAUUAGUUUGUUGGUGGGGUAACGGCCUACCAAGACUACGAUCAGUAGCCGACCUGAGAGGGUGAUCGGCCACAUUGGAACUGAGACACGGUCCAAACUCCUACGGGAGGCAGCAGUGUGGAAUAUUGCACAAUGGGCGAAAGCCUGAUGCAGCAACGCCGCGUGAGCGAUGAAGGCCUUUGGGUCGUAAAGCUCUGUCCUUGGGGAAGAAAAAAAUGACGGUACCCAAGGAGGAAGCCCCGGCUAACUACGUG
rnacentral:rRNA from 1 species